rnacentral:rRNA from 1 species
AAGCUCGUAGUUGAAUUUCGGGAUUGACGUGACGGUCGUGCCUUACGGGGUAUGAACUGUCGCCGUUGAUUUCUCACCUUCUGGAGAAGCUCGAUGUCCUUAAUUGGGUGUCUUGCGGAACCAGGACCUUUACCUUGAAAAAAUUAGAGUGUUUAAAGCAGGCAUUAUUGCUCGAAUACAUUAGCAUGGAAUAAUAGAAUAGGACGGCAUGGUUCUAUUUGUUGGUUUCUAGGAUCACCGUAAUGAUUAAUAGGGAUAGUUGGG